UACGAAGGGGGGCUAGCGUUGCUCGGAAUCACUGGGCGUAAAGCGCACGUAGGCGGCUUCUUAAGUCAGGGGUGAAAUCCUGGAGCUCAACUCCAGAACUGCCCUUGAUACUGAGGAGCUCGAGUCCGGAAGAGGUGAGUGGAACUGCGAGUGUAGAGGUGAAAUUCGUAGAUAUUCGCAAGAACACCAGUGGCGAAGGCGGCUCACUGGUCCGGUACUGACGCUGAGGUGCGAAAGCGGUGGGGAGCAAACAGGG
rnacentral:rRNA from 1 species